GACGAACGCUGGCGGCGUGCUUAACACAUGCAAGUCGAACGGAGUGCCCAUGAAAGAGAUUUCGGUCAAUGGAGUGGGUUACUUAGUGGCGGACGGGUGAGUAACGCGUGAGGAACCUGCCUUUCAGAGGGGGACAACAGCUGGAAACGGCUGCUAAUACCGCAUAAUAUAUCUGUAUCGCAUGGUAUGGAUAUCAAAGAUUUAUCGCUGAGAGAUGGCCUCGCGUCUGAUUAGCUGGUUGGUAGGGUAACGGCCUACCAAGGCGACGAUCAGUAGCCGGACUGAGAGGUUGGCCGGCCACAUUGGGACUGAGAUACGGCCCAG
rnacentral:rRNA from 1 species